GAAAUGCGAUAAGUAAUGUGAAUUGCAGAAUUCAGUGAAUCAUCGAAUCUUUGAACGCACAUUGCGCCCGCCAGUAUUCUGGCGGGCAUGCCUGUCCGAGCGUCAUUUCAACCCUCGAACCCCUCCGGGGGUCCGGCGUUGGGGAUCGGGAACCCCUAAGACGGGAUCCCGGCCCCGAAAUACAGUGGCGGUCUCGCCGCAGCCUCUCCUGCGCAGUAGUUUGCACAACUCGCACCGGGAGCGCGGCGCGUCCACGUCCGUAAAACACCCAACUUCUGAAAUGUUGACCUCGGAUCAGGUAGGAAUACCCGCUGAACUUAA
rnacentral:misc_RNA from 1 species